rnacentral:rRNA from 1 species
GCAGGGCUUCCCGAGACGGGUGCCGUCUUCUCGGCGGACUUCUGCGGUUCCAGACGCAUUUGUCUCUCGUCCGAAGGACGCUGCAGCCGGUUCGGCAGUGCAAGCGUGACGGCCUGGAGGUCGGGUAAUGGCAGGUGGCCGGUGGCUCGCUUCGUGCGGGUCGUCGGUUGUUAGCCGUCCCGUCGGUGGCUCGUCGCCGGACCGUGGUGUCGCGAGUCCCUUCGGGGACUCUUCGUCUCCACCCCAGCUAGGCGCGGGACAGACCGUGGCAAGGGAGUCGUCCUCUCCCGUCGCACUCCCUCGGAGUGGGCGGAGGAGUCCGGCGCCCCGUUGGCCGCGACGGACCCGUGGGGGACCGGAGGCUGGCAGCGAGUAGGUCGGUCACCCACCCGACCCGUCUUGAAACACGGACCAAGGAGUCUAACAUGUGCGCGAGUCAAUGGGUCUUGACUAGGCCCAGGGGCGCAAUGAAAGCGAAGGACGGCCUAGCGUCGUCUGAGCGGGGAUCCCUCUCMCUMGYGGGGGGGCGCACCCGCGACCCGUCCUAUUCGGCUCGCCGUUUGGGCGGAGUCUGAGCGUACACGUUGGGACCCGAAAGAUGGUGAACUAUGCCCGGACAGGACGAGGCCAGAGGAAAC